rnacentral:rRNA from 1 species
CCUACGGGGGGCUGCAGUGGGGAAUAUUGGACAAUGGGGGGAACCCUGAUACAGCCAUGCCGCGUGUGUGAAGAAGGCCCUCGGGUUGUAAAGCACUUUCAGUGAGGAAGAACGCCUGGUGGUUAAUACCCAUCAGGAAAGACAUCACUCACAGAAGAAGCACCGGCUAACUCCGUGCCAGCAGCCGCGGUAAUACGGAGGGUGCGAGCGUUAAUCGGAAUUACUGGGCGUAAAGCGCGCGUAGGUGGCUUGAUAAGCCGGUUGUGAAAGCCCCGGGCUCAACCUGGGAACGGCAUCCGGAACUGUCAAGCUAGAGUGCAGGAGAGGAAGGUAGAAUUCCCGGUGUAGCGGUGAAAUGCGUAGAGAUCGGGAGGAAUACCAGUGGCGAAGGCGGCCUUCUGGACUGACACUGACACUGAGGUGCGAAAGCGUGGGUAGCAAACAGGAUUAGAUACCCUUGUAGUC